GUGCUCACUUCGGCAGCACAAAUACUAAAAUUGGAACGAUACAGAGAAGAUUAGCAUGGCCCCUGCUCAAGAAUGCUACGCAAAUUCGUGAAGCAUUCCACAUUUAA